GAUGAACGCUGGCGGCGUGCCUAAUACAUGCAAGUCGAGCGAACAGACGAGGAGCUUGCUUCUCUGACGUUAGCGGCGGACGGGUGAGUAACACGUGGAUAACUUACCUAUAAGACUGGGAUCACUUCGGGAAACCGGAGCCAAUACCCGACAAUAUAUUGAACCGCAUGGUUCAAUAGUGAAAGACGAAUUUGCUGUCACUUAUAGAUGGAUCCGCGCCGCAUUAGCUAGUUGGUAAGGUAACGGCUUACCAAGGCAACGAUGCGUAGCCGACCUGAGAGGGUGAUCGGCCACACUGGAACUGAGACACGGUCCAGACUCCUACGGGAGGCAGCAGUGGGGAAUCUUGGGCAAUGGGCGAAAGCUUGACGGAGCAAUGCCGCGUGAGUGAUGAAGGUCUUCGGAUCGUAAAGCUCUGUUAUUAGGGAAGAACGAAUGUGUAAGUAACUAUGCACGUCUUGACGGUACCUAAACAGAAAGCCACGGCUAACUACGUG
rnacentral:rRNA from 1 species